CGUAGGGUGCAAGCGUUAAUCGGAAUUACUGGGCGUAAAGCGUGCGCAGGCGGCUAUGCAAGACAGAUGUGAAAUCCCCGGGCUCAACCUGGGAACUGCAUUUGUGACUGCACGGCUAGAGUACGGCAGAGGGGGAUGGAAUUCCGCGCGUAGCAGUGAAAUGCGUAGAUAUGCGGAGGAACACCGAUGGCGAAGGCAAUCCCCUGGGCCUGUACUGACGCUCAUGCACGAAAGCGUGGGGAGCAAACAGGAUUAGAUACCCUGGUAGUCCACGCCCUAAACGAUGUCAACUGGUUGUUGGACGGCUUGCUGUUCAGUAACGAAGCUAACGCGUGAAGUUGACCGCCUGGGGAGUACGGCCGCAAGGUUG
rnacentral:rRNA from 1 species